GAUGAACGCUGGCGGCGUGCCUAAUACAUGCAAGUCGAGCGAACGGACGAGAAGCUUGCUUCUCUGAUGUUAGCGGCGGACGGGUGAGUAACACGUGGAUAACCUACCUAUAAGACUGGGAUAACUUCGGGAAACCGGAGCUAAUACCGGAUAAUAUUUUGAACCGCAUGGUUCAAAAGUGAAAGACGGUCUUGCUGUCACUUAUAGAUGGAUCCGCGCUGCAUUAGCUAGUUGGUAAGGUAACGGCUUACCAAGGCAACGAUGCAUAGCCGACCUGAGAGGGUGAUCGGCCACACUGGAACUGAGACACGGUCCAGACUCCUACGGGAGGCAGCAGUAGGGAAUCUUCCGCAAUGGGCGAAAGCCUGACGGAACAACGCCGCGUGAGUGAUGAAGGUCUUCGGAUCGUAAAACUCUGUUAUUAGGGAAGAACAUAUGUGUAAGUAACUGUGCACAUCUUGACGGUACCUAAUCAGAAAGCAACGGCUAACUACGUG
rnacentral:rRNA from 1 species